UACGAAGGGGGCUAGCGUUGCUCGGAAUGACUGGGCGUAAAGGGCGCGUAGGCGGUUUGUACAGUCAGGUGUGAAAUUCCCGGGCUCAACCUGGGGGCUGCACUUGAUACGUAUGAACUGGAGUGGGGAAGAGGGUCGUGGAAUUCCCAGUGUAGAGGUGAAAUUCGCAGAUAUUGGGAAGAACACCGGUGGCGAAGGCGGCGACCUGGUCCUUGACUGACGCUGAGGCGCGAAAGCGUGGGGAGCGAACAGG
rnacentral:rRNA from 1 species